rnacentral:lncRNA from 7 species
GGAAGGAAAGCACUGCGGGGCCACAGCAGGGGCUCCCAGUAGGGGAUGGAGGCGAAAGGAGCGGGGCGCAGGGGACUCUGCCUUGCUGUGCUCUGUGCGGGCAUCGCACUUGCCCUCAAAGGAGAGGGUCUGGGGGACCACAACAUCACCCAGCACAGUGAUAUCUUGGAGGCGACGGGAGCCCCCACCACAGCCACCAGGGAUGUGACAAUGGGACCAGUGAGCUCCCCCAGCCCCUCUGGUACUGGGAACCCCAUCACCAUCACUGUGCCACUGCAAGCAGGUGCCCCAGGGAACCAAACCCGAAAUGAAUCGGGUUUUCCCAUCAGGUACUGGUCCCCCGUCAUUUUCGUGGUCCUUGCUCUGCUCGUGCUCUUCUUCACCUACCGCAGGACCAAAGGCAAUGGGACACAAGAGCCAACCACCUCCAUCAGUGACUUUUCAGAUGUGGCCACCGCAGAAAACGACACAGCUCUGACUGUCCCUGAUGCCCAGAAGAGUGCAGACAAUCCUCCACCCCAGGAGCUGAGCAAGACCACCUCCUGCCAGCCAGCCCCCCCCUCAGAACAGUCUUCCCAGCAGCCCACAGACCCCAUCACUGGAGGCAGUCCCCUCUGCUCUGGGGUUCCAGUUGAUGACUGAGGGUGAAGCAGGGGAGCCAGCAGCUUUUGGACACCCUGAAGGAGCACGAGGCCACUCCAGAAAGACAAGCUGUGCCAACACACACCUGGGCAGGGGACAUCAUAAUGGAUGCUGAAGGACGUGAGCAUCACACACCACCUCAGACCUGCCUAUGGAUGCUCUGGUGCAUGGCCACCUCCCUGCAAAAUGGGGACCUGCGUGGGACACGUGUGCAUUUACUGCACCCAAGGAGAGGGCUUGGGGGGGAGUCACAACAGAGCCAAUAAAGCAGCCUUUUGCCC